UACGGGGGGGGCAAGCGUUGUUCGGAAUUACUGGGCGUAAAGAGCUCGUAGGCGGUUUGUUGCGUCGGCUGUGAAAUCCCGAGGCUCAACCUCGGGUCUGCAGUCGAUACGAGCAAACUAGAGUGUUGCAGGGGAGACUGGAAUUCCUGGUGUAGCGGUGGAAUGCGCAGAUAUCAGGAGGAACACCGGUGGCGAAGGCGGGUCUCUGGGCCGUAACUGACGCUGAGGAGCGAAAGCGUGGGGAGCGAACAGG
rnacentral:rRNA from 1 species